AUUGAACGCUGGCGGCAGGCCUAACACAUGCAAGUCGAGCGGUAGCACAGAGAGCUUGCUCUCGGGUGACGAGCGGCGGACGGGUGAGUAAUGUCUGGGAAACUGCCUGAUGGAGGGGGAUAACUACUGGAAACGGUAGCUAAUACCGCAUAAUGUCGCAAGACCAAAGUGGGGGACCUUCGGGCCUCAUGCCAUCAGAUGUGCCCAGAUGGGAUUAGCUAGUAGGUGGGGUAACGGCUCACCUAGGCGACGAUCCCUAGCUGGUCUGAGAGGAUGACCAGCCACACUGGAACUGAGACACGGUCCAGACUCCUACGGGAGGCAGCAGUGGGGAAUAUUGCACAAUGGGCGCAAGCCUGAUGCAGCCAUGCCGCGUGUGUGAAGAAGGCCUUCGGGUUGUAAAGCACUUUCAGCGGGGAGGAAGGCGGUGAGGUUAAUAACCUCAUCGAUUGACGUUACCCGCAGAAGAAGCACCGGCUAACUCCGUGCCAGCAGCCGCGGUAAUACGGAGGGUGCAAGCGUUAAUCGGAAUUACUGGGCGUAAAGUGCACGCAGGCGGUCUGUCAAGUCGGAUGUGAAAUCCCCGGGCUCAACCUGGGAACUGCAUUCGAAACUGGCAGGCUAGAGUCUUGUAGAGGGGGGUAGAAUUCCAGGUGUAGCGGUGAAAUGCGUAGAGAUCUGGAGGAAUACCGGUGGCGAAGGCGGCCCCCUGGACAAAGACUGACGCUCAGGUGCGAAAGCGUGGGGAGCAAACAGGAUUAGAUACCCUGGUAGUCCACGCCGUAAACGAUGUCGAUUUGGAGGUUGUGCCCUUGAGGCGUGGCUUCCGGAGCUAACGCGUUAAAUCGACCGCCUGGGGAGUACGGCCGCAAGGUUAAAACUCAAAUGAAUUGACGGGGGCCCGCACAAGCGGUGGAGCAUGUGGUUUAAUUCGAUGCAACGCGAAGAACCUUACCUGGUCUUGACAUCCACAGAACUUUCCAGAGAUGGAUUGGUGCCUUCGGGAACUGUGAGACAGGUGCUGCAUGGCUGUCGUCAGCUCGUGUUGUGAAAUGUUGGGUUAAGUCCCGCAACGAGCGCAACCCUUAUCCUUUGUUGCCAGCGGUUAGGCCGGGAACUCAAAGGAGACUGCCAGUGAUAAACUGGAGGAAGGUGGGGAUGACGUCAAGUCAUCAUGGCCCUUACGACCAGGGCUACACACGUGCUACAAUGGCAUAUACAAAGAGAAGCGACCUCGCGAGAGCAAGCGGACCUCAUAAAGUAUGUCGUAGUCCGGAUUGGAGUCUGCAACUCGACUCCAUGAAGUCGGAAUCGCUAGUAAUCGUAGAUCAGAAUGCUACGGUGAAUACGUUCCCGGGCCU
rnacentral:rRNA from 1 species